AGCAUUUCAUGACCCUUGAAGAUCGAUCUCCAUAAACCAGGUAAGCCGAAAGACCCUGGAGAUGCCUACUACAAGUCAAACAUAUAGAUCCUCCACAAAUAUAAGAAAUGAAGGUUGGCAAAAAGAGACUAUAGAAACUCCUCUAACAACCUGAUUACAAGUGUGCAUCACAGCUAAAACAAUAAGACAAUAGGAGGGCAGAUCCAUGAUAGAGAUCUCUCAACAAGAGCACCAGAUUUG
rnacentral:misc_RNA from 1 species